GACGAACGCUGGCGGCGUGCCUAAUACAUGCAAGUCGAACGCACUCUCGUUUAGAUUGAAGGAGUUUGCUCCUGAUUGAUAAACAUUUGAGUGAGUGGCGGACGGGUGAGUAACACGUGGGUAACCUGCCCUAAAGUGGGGGAUAACAUUUGGAAACAGAUGCUAAUACCGCAUAAAACCUAACACCGCAUGGUGUAGGGUUGAAAGAUGGUUUCGGCUAUCACUUUAGGAUGGACCCGCGGUGCAUUAGUUAGUUGGUGAGGUAAAGGCUCACCAAGACCGUGAUGCAUAGCCGACCUGAGAGGGUAAUCGGCCACACUGGGACUGAGACACGGCCCAGACUCCUACGGGAGGCAGCAGUAGGGAAUCUUCCACAAUGGACGAAAGUCUGAUGGAGCAACGCCGCGUGAGUGAAGAAGGUUUUCGGAUCGUAAAACUCUGUUGUUGGAGGAGAAUGUAUCUGAUAGUAACUGAUCAGGUAGUGACGGUAUCCAACCAGAAAGCCACGGCUAACUACGUG
rnacentral:rRNA from 1 species